CCAAUAGCGUAUAUUAGUGUUGUUGCGGUUAAAAAGCUCGUAGUUGAAUUUCGGGAUUGGGAUAUAUCGGUCGUGCCUUUAGGGGCAUGAAUCGGUGUGUGGCCAAUUCUCUCACCUUCUGGUGAAUUGGGAUGCUCUUGGGUGUUUCAAUGAACUAGGACUUUUACUUUGAAAAAAUUAGAGUGUUUAAAGCAGGCAUUUUUGCUUGAAUACAUUAGCAUGGAAUAAUAAAAUAGGACGAUGGUUCUAUUUUGUUGGUUUUAGGACCACGUAAUGAUUAAUAGGGAUAGUUGGGGGCAUUAGUAUUCAAUUGUCAGAGGUGAAAUUCUUGGAUUUAUUGAGGACUAACUACUGCGAAAGCAUUUGCCAAGGAUGUUUUCAUUAAUCAAGAACGAAAGUUAGGGGAUCAAAGACGAUUUAUGUACGUCGUAGUCUUAACCAUAAACUAUGCCGACUAGGAAUCAGACAAAGUUAAUUUUUUAACGACUUGUUUGGUACCUUACG
rnacentral:rRNA from 1 species